CCCGAGUGACUGUAGCGCCCGCAGGUGCCUGUGCCUGUGUAUCCCGACAAUAAACCAAAUCCUCUUGCUGAUUGCAUCCUGUGGUGUCUCGGUCUGGUCUUUGGAGUUGGAGGGUCUCCAUCCCGAGGGAAAGUUCUCCCUGAGAGCUUUUCAUUUGGUGCGUUGGCCGGGAAAGGAGAUCCUCCACCCAGGGACCACCGACCACCCACUGGGAGGUAAGCCGGCCGACGUCUGUCUGUCUGUCUAAUUUUGUCUCGUUCUACCUUAUUCUGUCUGUUCUGUGAGCGCUCAGCCAGGUCUGUUCUGUGAGUGCUCAGCCAGGUUGUUUGGAAUUUGGGCGGGACGAAGAAGGAGCUGACGAGCUCGGACUUCUCGCCCCGCAGCCCUGGAAGACGUUCCAAGGGUGUUGGGGCCCGACUUUUCGGGGCCCAAUCUGGGAGAGGAGGAAGAUCCGGACUAACGGCACUCUGUCUGUAUUUUUGGCUUUCAGAGGGCCCCGGACCUUUGCCACCUCCAUCUGACUUUUUGCUUUCAGUUUGGUACCAAAGCCGUGCAGCACGCCUGUCUGUUGUUUGUUUGACUGUUGGUGUUGUUUGUUUUCUCUGUGUUCUAAUCUUCCUUAGAACUAACAUGGGACAGUCCCUAACAACGCCCCUAAGUCUCACUCUUGAUCAUUAGAAAGACGUCCACGACCGGGCACACAACCAGUCUGUCGAGGUUAAAAAAAAAAAGGAAAAGGGCAGACUAUCUGCACAUCUGAGUGGCCCACUUUCGGAGCGGGAUGGCCAGUGAAUGACACAUUUAAUAAGAUCAUUAUUUUACAGGUUAAAGAUCGGGCCGUCCACGGACAUCCUGACCAGGUUUCUUAUAUUAUCACUUGAGAGAGUCUCGCCUUAACCCCCCCCCCCCCGGGCGGAACCCUUCGUGAACCCGAAUUGGCCUCCCCUCAACCCCCAGCCUGUCCCCUCGGCCCCGCC
ensembl:lncRNA